rnacentral:rRNA from 1 species
ANUUCCCNCGUCUCGGCAGGCCUAACACAUGCCAAGUCUAGCGGAAACGACACNAUCNAAUCUUCGGAUGAUUUGUUGGGCGUCGAGCGGCGGACGGGUGAGUAAUGCCUAGGAAAUUGCCUUGAUGUGGGGGAUAACCAUUGGAAACGAUGGCUAAUACCGCAUAAUGCCUACGGGCCAAAGAGGGGGAUCUUCGGACCUCUCGCGUCAAGNUAUGCCUAGGUGGGAUUAGCUAGUUGGUGAGGUAAUGGCUCACCAAGGCGACGAUCCCUAGCUGGUCUGAGAGGAUGAUCAGCCACACUGGAACUGAGCACACGGUCCAGACUCCUACGGGAGGCAGCAGUGGGGAAUAUUGCACAAUGGGCGCAAGCCUGAUGCAGCCAUGCCGCGUGUAUGAAGAAGGCCUUCGGGUUGUAAAGUACUUUCAGUUGUGAGGAAGGGGGUAACGUUAAUAGCGUUAUCUCUUGAACGUUAGCAACAGAAGAAGCACCGGCUAACUCCGUGCCAGCAGCCGCGGUAAUACGGAGGGUGCGAGCGUUAAUCGGAAUUACUGGGCGUAAAGCGCAUGCAGGUGGUUCAUUAAGUCAGAUGUGAAAGCCCGGGGCUCAACCUCGGAACUGCAUUUGAAACUGGUGAACUAAAGUGCUGUAGAGGGGGGUAGAAUUUCAGGUGUAGCGGUGAAAUGCGUAGAGAUCUGAAGGAAUACCAGUGGCGAAGGCGGCCCCCUGGAACAGACACUGACACUCAGAUGCNAAAGCGUGGGGAGCAAACAGGAUUANAUACCCUGGUANUCACGCCGUAACNAUGUCUACUUGGAGGUUGUGGCCUUAANCCGUGGCUUCGNANCUAACGCNUNAUUAAACCNCUGGGGAUUCNGNCNCAAAAUAAACUCAAUNANUNACGGGGCCCCCCAACNGUGNANAUNUUNUUANUCNAUNCACCNA